rnacentral:rRNA from 1 species
CAGCCGCCGCGGUAAUACCGGCGGCCCGAGUGGCGGUCACUAUUAUUGGGCUUAAAGCGUCCGUAGCCGGGUUGGGAAGUCCUCCGGGAAAUCUGGCCGCUUAACGGUCAGAAUGCCGGAGGAUACUCCCAGCCUAGGGAGCGGGAGAGGCCGAGGGUAUUCCCGGAGUAGGGGUGAAAUCCUAUAAUCCCAGGGGGACCGCCAGUGGCGAAGGCGCCCCGCUGGAACGGGUCCGACGGUGAGGGACGAAGGCCAGGGGAGCAAACCGGAUUAGAUACCCGGGUAGUCCUGGCUGUAAAGGAUGCGGGCUAGGUGUCGGGUGAGCUUCGGGCUCGCCCGGUGCCGUAGGGAAGCCGUUAAGCCCGCCGCCUGGGGAGUACGGCCGCAAGGCUGAAACUUAAAGGAAUUGGCGGG